rnacentral:snRNA from 1 species
GUGCUCGCUCCGGCAGCACAUACACUAAAAUUGGAACGAUACAGAGAAGAUUAGCAUGGUCCCUGUGCAAGGAUGAUAAAAUUAAAAAAAUAAGAAUAAAAAAAUAAA